GAAAUGCUCUGGUUCUCGUUAGAUCACCGAAGUCAAGCAUCAUUGGGCACGGUCAGUACUUGGGUGGUUGACCACCUGGGAACAUCGCGUGCCGUU
rnacentral:rRNA from 1 species